GACGAACGCUGGCGGCGUGCUUAACACAUGCAAGUCGAACGGAAAGGCCCUGCUUUUGUGGGGUGCUCGAGUGGCGAACGGGUGAGUAACACGUGAGUAACCUGCCCUUGACUUUGGGAUAACUUCAGGAAACUGGGGCUAAUACCGGAUAGGAGCUCCUGCUGCAUGGUGGGGGUUGGAAAGUUUCGGCGGUUGGGGAUGGACUCGCGGCUUAUCAGCUUGUUGGUGGGGUAGUGGCUUACCAAGGCUUUGACGGGUAGCCGGCCUGAGAGGGUGACCGGCCACAUGGGAACUGGGAAGAGACCAGGACGAGUCCGGGCGGGAGGGGGGGGGGAGGGAGCGCAAGGGGCGGAGGGCUGAUGGAACGACGCCGCGUGCGGGAAGGGGGGCGGCGGGUAGGAAACAGAGGGCGCGGGUAAAGAGGAGAGAGUGACGGGAAUGGGUAAAGAAGCGACGGCUAACUACGUG
rnacentral:rRNA from 1 species